rnacentral:rRNA from 1 species
ACUGAACGCUGGCGGCAGGCCUAACACAUGCAAGUCGAGCGGAUGAAGGGAGCUUGCUCCUGGAUUCAGCGGCGGACGGGUGAGUAAUGCCUAGGAAUCUGCCUGGUAGUGGGGGAUAACGUCCGGAAACGGGCGCUAAUACCGCAUACGUCCUGAGGGAGAAAGUGGGGGAUCCUCGGACCUCACGCUAUCAGAUGAGCCUAGGUCGGAUUAGCUAGUUGGUGGGGUAAAGGCCUACCAAGGCGACGAUCCGUAACUGGUCUGAGAGGAUGAUCAGUCACACUGGAACUGAGACACGGUCCAGACUCCUACGGGAGGCAGCAGUGGGGAAUAUUGGACAAUGGGCGAAAGCCUGAUCCAGCCAUGCCGCGUGUGUGAAGAAGGUCUUCGGAUUGUAAAGCACUUUAAGUUGGGAGGAAGGGCAGUAAGUUAAUACCUUGCUGUUUUGACGUUACCAACAGAAUAAGCACCGGCUAACUUCGUG